rnacentral:rRNA from 1 species
UUGACGGGGGCCCGCACAAGCAGCGGAGCGUGUGGUUUAAUUCGAUGCAACACGAAGAACCUUACCAAGGCUUGACAUGACAGAAGUAGCAGACCGAAAGGUGAGCCACCUGUUGAAUCAGGAACUGCCACAAGUGCUGCAUGGCUGUCGUCAGCUCGUGCCGUGAGGUGUUGGGUUAAGUCCCGCAACGAGCGCAACCCUUUUUGCCAGUUGAUUUCUCUGGCGAGACUGCCCCGCAAAACGGGGAGGAAGGUGGGAUGACGUCAAGUCAGCAUGGCCCUUAUGCCUUGGGCUACACACACGCCACAAUGGGCGGUACAAUGGGUUGCCACAGAGCGAUCUGGAGCUAAUCCCCAAAGCCGUCCUCAGUACGGAUUACAGGCUGAAACCCGCCUGUAUGAAGCUGGAGUUGCUAGUAACCGCAUAUCAGCAUGGUGCGGUGAAUACGUUCUCGGGCCUU